UUUAUUUUGAUAUUAUUUUUUAUUGUUGAAAAAAUUAAUAAUAAUUUAUUGUUAAUAAAAAUUAAAAUUUAUAAUAUUUUUAUUUUUAUUUUUUAGUUUUAAAUAAAAAAAAUAAAAUUUAUAUAUAUAAAAAUUUUGUUAUAAAUUAUAAUAGUUUAUUUAUUUGUUUUUUAUAAUAAAUAAUAGUAUUUUUUUUUAUUAUUUUAUAAAAAAAAAUAAUUUAAUUAUAAUUAUUAAAAGUAAUUUUGUUAUUUAGAAUAAUAUAUUAAUAUAAAUAACAAAAAUAUUAAAUAUUUUUUAAAUUUUUUGGGGAUUUAAGUUAUAAUUUUUUGUGUCUGCUCAGUGAAUUUAAAUAGCACUUUUAGCGUGAUUAGUCAAAGGUAGCAAGGUAAUUUGUUUUUUUAUUGGAUUCUGGUAUGAACGGUUUUUUGGUAUUUUUUCUAUUAGUAAUAAAAAGAAUUU
rnacentral:rRNA from 1 species